rnacentral:lncRNA from 1 species
UUUCAGGUUCACCAUGUUUCUCUCUUUACACCCUUUAUUGCAAACAAGACAAACCUUAUCUACAGGUAUGAACUUAUCAGCACACUUCUUACAGAAAACGUGACCACAUGAGCUAAGAGCCACAAGUGACAAUGUGUUUGUUAAUGUAACCUUGCAGCUUGGACAGAUAUAUGUCUUGUCCAGAGGCGUUGAUUUCUUCUCGUCGUUUAUGUCUUCAGUGAAAUGGACAGGGAAAAGAGACUUCAGCUUUAGUUUCUCGCUACCUUCUGGACAGGUUGUGCAUUCAGGGGGAGCAGCCACUUUAAC